GACAGAGGGUGCAAACGUUGUUCGGAAUUACUGGGCGUAAAGCGCGUGUAGGCGGCUAUGCAAGUCGGAUGUGAAAGCCCUCGGCUCAACCGGGGAAGUGCACCCGAAACUGCAAAGCUAGAGUCUCGGAGAGGAUCGUGGAAUUCUCGGUGUAGAGGUGAAAUUCGUAGAUAUCGAGAGGAACACCGGUGGCGAAGGCGGCUUCCUGGACCGACACUGACGCUGAGGCGCGAAAGCUAGGGGAGCAAACGGG
rnacentral:rRNA from 1 species